UUAUAUGUUUUGAAAUAAAGUUGUAAUUUCUUUGUGUUGAUUUCUAUGUUGCUUAUGUGAGAUUGCUUAAUUGAUUUUGGUUUAUAGAAAACUCUUAUAUGUAUGUGUUCUUUGGUGGCCAACUUGGGAUAUAUGCAUGUAAUUGGUGCUAGAAUUAGGUAAACAAUUCACCUAAUAGUUUUGUGAACCUAUUUCAUAAGUAGUAAAGGCUUUGGACAAAAGUCGAAAUCAAUUAAGAAGGAUUGCAAAUAGAUGAACUUUUUCAUACUAGGUUGUGCACUUUGGUUGACAUCCUUUCUUUGUUCUUUAUGCAUUGAAUGUGUGCUUUCACUUAGAUCAAUUAUUCAAGGAAAGUAAAAUAUGGGAAAUCGUUUGCUUAUUAACGUUUCACAUGGUCAACUUAUUUCUCAUGACAUUAGAUAAUCAACUAUAGGAAUUGUAAUUGGAUUU
rnacentral:lncRNA from 1 species